AGACGCUCGCUGAAGUAGCUACAGACUGAUCGACGUGGGAGAAGACCAUAUCCUAUGAGUACACAAUGGCAGAUUUCUUGCUUGGGACAGGAUUCCGAAACCGGGUGAAUGAAUGGCCUGUGUCUCCUGUAACGGAACACUACAAUAAGACUGUUGUGCCAGCAGAGACCCCUGAUAAAAAGUUUGUUCUGGUGGUUGAAGAUUCCCAUCUGCGGGGCUUCGUAGAUGGGUUUGUGGCCAUGCCGAAAGGAUGUACAGUAAAUAGUACAAUUAAGGCCUCGGUUUGUUUCCAAGUCCCAUCUGUGUCCCUACUUACUUCCCGCUGCCAUAUUGUUAUUUUUUUCCCUUGUCUUCAUCACAACCAUGCUGCAGCGCUGAGACACCCCCCACAUACCGCCCCAGGACCACCACCUCCUUCAUCUGCACCCUGCCAAUCUCACACACAUUCAACACCUCCUUCAUCUGCACCCUGCCAAUCUCCCACACAUUCAACACCUCCUUCAUCUGCACCCUGCCAAUCUCCCACACAUUCAACACCUCCUUCAUCUGCACCCUGCCAAUCUCCCACACAUUCAACACCUCCUUCAUCUGCACCCUGCCAAUCUC